AUACGUAGGUGACAAGCGUUAUCCGGAUUUACUGGGCGUAAAGGGCGUGUAGGCGGUCUUGCAAGUCAGAAGUGAAAUUCCUGAGCUCAACUCGGGCGCUGCUUCUGAAACUGCAGGACUUGAGUGCUGGAGGGGAUAGCGGAAUUCCUAGUGGAGCGGUAAAAUGCGCAGAUAUUAGGAAGAACACCGGUGGCGAAGGCGGCUAGCUGGACAGUAACUGACGCUGAGGCGCGAAAGCGUGGGGAGCAAACAGGAUUAGAUACCCUGGUAGUCCACGCUGUAAACGAUGAAUACUAGGUGUAGGGGGUAUCGACUCCCUCUGUGCCGCAGUUAACACAAUAAGUAUUCCGCCUGGGGAGUACGGCCGCAAGGUUGAAACUCAAAUGAAUUGGCGGGG
rnacentral:rRNA from 1 species